AGCAAAGUUGAAAGUUGAAGUGUAAGUAAUAUCGGACGUCCGACGUUCGCAUUUCGCAUCUAACUCAAUUUAAAAACGUUAAGCAAUUCGUAAUCAGACUUUGAGAGGUGCGGGUCGUGUUUUUGGUGCUGUAACGACGGCUGCUACCACUGUUGCAUCGACUGCGACCACACCUUUAAAUCCGCAGCAAUUACAGUAGCUUUUCGACCCCGACUGUAACUCUCACCACCACGGACAAUUCAUAGGAAAUGUUUGAGUCUAUCGAUACCAUGAACCCAGCUGCCUUGAUCGCUAAUAUUGAUAAUACGAGCGUGUCUGAAAGGAAUACGAUAAUGGAAACAAAUGUCAGUGUCCCCGCGCCAUAUCUUUCCGCCUUAAUCAUUGAUUGCUUAUUCGUCACCGCCAUUGCGAUACUCUACGUCAUGUGGAAGCAUAUUGACUGCUAUUUCGGGGCGGAAGCGAUAGCAGCGGUGCAACGCGACCACCACAUUGACUGCGCAGGGCCAUCUUUAGGCCGCAUCUUCUGCGGUUUGCUGUUCUUGGUGGCAUCAAUCAGCUGCUUGAUUUAUUUGCCGGAUGUGGCUUACUACGCGCUCAUGGUGCUUACUAUUCUGGUAAUUCCGAUCGGAUUUAAACGGGUGCAAUCGUUGGAGUUCCUUUGGGAGCAGUGGGACUAGAACGAUGUCCUCCUUCGCGUGUCGGCGUUUGGUCUGUUAACAUAUGCCGUGCUCAGUGUGAUUGCUGGUGGAAUGGGAGCCUUCACGCACAAACCAAACCUUCUUGUAAUGAUCACCGGAUGCUUGAGCGUACUACAGAUGAUUAACUCUGCUCCUCUGUGCACUUCAUCGCUUCCACUCAACCAUCACCCUCGCCGAUAUCUGGAAGAUAAGCUACAAAGCUCGACUUGAGUGAAUCCCCAUCUAUCAAAAUGGAUUUAGUUAGAUAUUUGCGAUAUAUAAGCUUUAGUUUCCGAUACGAUAUGAGGGUUUUUACUGAUUUCGUCCUUAUCCGGGACAGCAAUUGUAAUUUUUCGAUUUCAGUCUAGGUAUAUUUAGCGCAGGUAGAACGUCAAGUAAACUCCCGACUAUAGCAUUUUAGGAAUAUUGGAAACAGACACGACACGAAAAAGAAAAUUUGACAAAACAAUUAAUACUUUUUUUCCUUUAUAAUUUUAUGUAAUAGGAGGCAAACGGGCAGGAGGCUCACCUGAUGUUAAGUGAUACCGCUGCCCAUGGACACUCACAAUGCCAGAAGGCUCGCAAGUGCGUUGCCAGCCUUUCAAGAAUUGGUACGCUCUUUUCUUGAAGGACCCUAAGUCGAAUUGGUUAGUCACAUUCCACUUACAGUUUUAUUUCCAAGUCUGAUGAACAUUUAAUACGUAUAUAUUGCUAAUUAAAACAAAUCAGAAUUUGUUAUGAAUGGUUUCUUCCCUUAUACCAUCUUGAUAAAAUUAACUACCAAAAUGAAACUCAGUUAUUAAGUAAUUUGGUUUUUAAAAUUAAAAAUUAUACGCGAUUUCGUACGGAAACGUGUACUUAUAGUAUUGUGUUGUUGAAAUACUUCCAUAUAUACACUUUACAGUCUAACAGCUAACAGCUAUAUGAAAUAUAUAUAUUUAUACCUGUGAAUAAUCAUCGGCAACUUUUAAAUAAUUUAUUAAAUUAAAAAUCGUUAAGACUCUUUGUUAAUAAGGAAUAGUUAAAUAUGAUUGAAUCCAAAAACCUUCGAGAUAAGGUUCUUUUUUCACAGCUCAGUGCCAAUGGCCACCUUUUUGUGCUCCCACUCAAAACCCAAAAAAAAAUAAUCCAAUGCUAAAAUUUCUUUAGCUGCCUAUAUCAUCCUUCCAUCGUCUUUCAUCUAUAUAUAUACAACUAUAUAUAUAUACAAGGUAUCAAAAAAGUUAUGACACGUAACAAGGACUAAAUAUUAAUAAUGGCCAUUAAUUUCUAAGGCCUUUAACAAACACGACGUUCUCCAUUUUAAUGAAGUAGUUGCGUAGG